rnacentral:rRNA from 1 species
ACUCUAGUCCGACUUUGUGAAAUGACUUGAGAGGUGUAGUAUAAGUGGGAGCUUCGACGAAAUUGAAAUACCACUACUUUUAACGUUAUUUUACUUAUUCCGUGAAACGGAGGCGGGGCGACGUGAAGU